GAUGAACGCUGGCGGCGUGCUUAACACAUGCAAGUCGAACGAUGAAGCCCAGCUUGCUGGGUGGAUUAGUGGCGAACGGGUGAGUAACACGUGAGUAACCUGCCCUUAACUCUGGGAUAAGCCUGGGAAACUGGGUCUAAUACCGGAUAGGAGCGCCUACCGCAUGGUGGGUGUUGGAAAGAUUUAUCGGUUUUGGAUGGACUCGCGGCCUAUCAGCUUGUUGGUGAGGUAAUGGCUCACCAAGGCGACGACGGGUAGCCGGCCUGAGAGGGUGACCGGCCACACUGGGACUGAGAUACGGCCCAGACUCCUACGGGAGGCAGCAGUGGGGAAUAUUGCACAAUGGGCGAAAGCCUGAUGCAGCGACGCCGCGUGAGGGAUGACGGCCUUCGGGUUGUAAACCUCUUUCAGUAGGGAAGAAGCGAAAGUGACGGUACCUGCAGAAGAAGCACCGGCUAACUACGUG
rnacentral:rRNA from 1 species